AUCUACGACCAUAUCACCCUAAAUGGACUGCCAUUGUCACAUCUCCUAAGCUAGGCAUGUGAUCCUGGUUAGUGCAUGGGUGGCAUAAUGCCUGUGAAUACCAGGUGUUGUAGGUU
rnacentral:rRNA from 1 species